rnacentral:rRNA from 1 species
AAGGCCUUCGGGUUGUAAAGCACUGUCGAGGGGAAGAAAGCCGCAAGGUUGAUCGACCCCUGGAGGAAGCACGGGCUAAGUUCGUGC